rnacentral:rRNA from 1 species
UGUGAACUGCAGGACACAUGAACACCGACACGUUGAACGCAUAUUGCGCAUCGGACGUUUCAACCCGACCGAUGCACACAUCCUUGAGUGCCUAUCAAGUUAUACAUACAUUUCUACCAAACUGACACCUAUCUCCCCGAUAGUUUGUCGCAUAAUGGCGUGCUCGGACCCGCACUGGACGGGGCCUUGGGCGCUGAAUGUGAGAGAGCUAAUAUAGAAGACAAUGUAUUGUAAUGAUACAUACGAGAGAGAGUGAGCGAUGAACAGACACGCGACAAGUCGCAACGGUUCGACCUCAAGUAUCAACCCGGGAUGAAACCCCCGCAGCCUAUCAUCAGGCGCUAGCAAAGGGGUCCUAGGUUGGCUCGGGUCGUGUAACACUUGCGGCCCAACGGGUCUGUCUUUAUCGUCUCUCUUAGAACGAAAAAGGGAAUUAGCUUCUCUACAUGUAGGCCUCGAGUGAUGUGUGACAACCCCCUGAAUUUAAGC